rnacentral:rRNA from 1 species
AUGACACAUUUGUGUUGGUUUCCGAAGCUUGUGUACAAGCUUUAUCACUUACAAAUAAUGAAGUUCGAUGAUCGCCAACUCGCAGCUCCUUGGAAAAGGGAAAUGGACAGAGUGUCCAACCUAGUUAAUUUACGCCAUCUGCACCUAUAUUCCGGAAUAAUACCAAUGAUUCCUUGUGUAGGAAAGCUUACUUCUCUCCAUGAGCUAUAUGGUUUCUGCAUCAAACAACAAGAUGGUUACACUACUGGUGAACUAAAGAAUCUGAUGAACAUCCAUCAUUUAUAUGUUUCUGGUCUUGACAAGGUAAACAGCGUAGAAGAAGCUGCUGAAGUUAUGUUCGACCAGAAAAGGUGUCUGUCAGCAGUAACUUUAAAUUGGUCCCAGGCUCUUCAAAUUCAUGCAUGCCAAGCCAAGCUGAGUUGGUUCUUGAUAAACUUGAACCACACCAUAAUUUACAUAUAA